AUGGUAGAGGACAAUCUUGAGGUGGGCGACUCUUGUUUGUCUUCACCAAAAUCUGUGCAAAAUUCUGUAGAGCCUAGCCCAACUGAAGGCACCAAUGAAGAUGAAAGCAGUAACCUUGAGAAAACAGCAUGUGCCAAUUUUGAGACACCAAUGCACCAAGAACUUCCUGCAAGCUUGAUAUUGAUUGACGAAGAAAGCAAUCUGCAAGAGACUUCGGUUGAACAAAAGGCUUCCAUUGGUGAUUCCAUAUCAUCAGAAGUAGACCACAGUGGGUUGCCAUCAAUCAAAGAAGAUUCUCACAGAUUUCCAUCUGCCUCUAACGAAGUUGAUGAAUCAAAGGAUGCCAUCAGUGACUUGAUGACAACGCAUUCUUCAGAAGAAAACACACAUGCAACACCACAGACUUCAGUUAGCUCAAGAGAAGAGGUCCAAUGUGCACCUUUGCAUAACGUUCAAGAUGGUGCUUCCUGUCCCGAUUCUGAGAAAACUGCUUGUGAAGCGCCACCUGCUAUCUUACAAAAGGUGAAAGAAGAUAAACCACGGUUCAUGCAUAGAUUGCCUGAUCGCCAAAUGAGCCUACGAGACACUAGACAGAAAAUGCCUGCGCCCGUGAGGAGAUUGAACAGUGGGAAUUAUUCGAGGACUGAUAAUUUUUUUGUCGAUACAACGAAGCCCAUUGAGUCAGUGAAGGUGGCUGCCUCAAGAUUUGGUGGGAGCAUCAACUGGAAAACGCGCAAAACAGAACCAGUGCAGGUGGGUGAUCAUGUCAAACUCGAGGUCAGUCUGCUGAAGAACGAAAUUUCAGAUUGCAAACAGCAAGCAGAAGCUGCAGAGGCUGCAAAGCUGUCUGUAUUCAAUGAGAUUAAGAGAACAAAUAAGCUUAUUGAAGACCUGAAACAUGAACUGGAGAGGGCAGAACAUGAAGAGGCAGAUGCCAAGGAGGAUUUGGAUUUCUUCCAAUUUAUUGUACCAGAGAUGGAGGAAGGAGGAGCUAGCGGUGAUAGUGUUGCAGGCGAGGAGAUUUUGAAAAAUAUCCAAGAACGGCACAAAGUACUGGUGUCCAAACUGAAGUUGGUCAAUGAUGAGUUAAAAGGGGUUCAGGAGAAUUAUGAUUCUUUAUUGAUUGAACAGGACAUUUCCAUUGGAAAAUCUCAGGCAGCCAUCAUAGUAUCCAAAGAGUCUGAGAAGCAAGCAGAGGAGCUCACUGUAGAGCUCAACAAACUGAAGGAAGUGUUGGAUUUGGCUCGUGCCACGCGCCAUGAUGCUGAAAAACACAAGGCGUGUGCAUCCUUAGCUCGAGAUGAGGACCGUCUUAAAUGGGAGAAGGAUCUAGGGCAAGCAGAAGAGGAGCUGAGUCAACUCAACAAGAAGCUUUCCUCUGUCGAAGAUCUGAAAUCAGAGCUCGAAAUAUCAUCCAGCUUGCUGGUGAAGCACAACGAAGAGCUAAAUGCAUAUGUGGAGGAAAAGCUAAUUAAAGAAGCACAAGAACAAGGAAACAAAACUGAUGAGACCAUGCAAGAAGAAACCAUUCUAUCAAGAGAUGAGCUUGAGGAGCAGAAGAAGAGCAUUGAUAAGGCGAGAGAUGAAGUCUGUGCCCUGAAAGUUGCUGCUGCAUCACUUCAGUCAGAGUUGAGCAAAGAGAAAGAAACACUUGCCACCAUGCAGCAGCUGGAAGCAAUGGCAUCGAUCACCAUUACUUCUCUCAAGGCAGAGAUUAAGCUGGCAAAACAGGAACUGGAAACAGUUCAGUCCAAGGAGAAGAAAUCCUGCGAUAGAAUGAGCGAGUUGCCUGGGCUUCUGCAAGCUGCAGCCCAGGAAGCUGAUGAGGCAAAGUCUCUCGCUGUGAAGGCACAGGAGAUGCUAAGAACGAGCAAGGAAGAAAUGGAGCAAGCGAAGGCUGAUCUGAGUACUAUGGAAUUCAGGCUCCAAGCAGUCCUGAAGGAGACGGAAGCAGCGAAAGAGUCUGAGAGGCUGUCGCUUGAUGCUCUCAGAGCUCUGGAGGAGAGCGAGCUUGCAGCAAGCAUUGCAGAACAAGGCUCUCCUGGAAUGAUCACACUGGACUUUCAUGAACAUGCGUCUCUCAUCGAGAAGUCCCAUCAGGCAGAAGAGCUUGUGCACGAGAAGAUAUCUUUUGCAGUUGCGCAGGUUGAGAUGGCCAAGGACUCCGAGUCUCUCGUCUUAGCAAAGCUCAGCGAAAUUUACAAGGUUCUGGAAGAACGAAAGCAAGCGCUGCUUGCUGCCCAAAAGCAGGCCGACAGUGCCACGGAAGGCAAGCUGGCCAUGGAACAGGAACUGAGGACAUGGAGGGAGGAGCAUGGGGAGCGUCGUAAGGCUACCGCUGAGGCUUUGAAAUCUGAAACUAAACAUUCAAACCCGGUGGUGAUCGUCGUUGAGCGCGAUCGGGACAUCAAGGGCACAUGCAAAGAAGACAGCUGCGCCUUGGUUCAUCCGCUGUCCUCGGAUAUGUCAGCCAGGAGCAGCCCUGCCGGCCCAGGUUUGCGCGAGAAGGCGAAGAAGGCAAAGAAGCCGCCGUUCCUCCGGCGCAUGAUGAUGUUCCUGGCCAGGAGGAGGCUCACAGCAGCGGCGUAA
rnacentral:rRNA from 1 species